CGCAGUCAAGUCAAACUGACCNCCCCGCCGCCCUGUCCCCAUCGUGGUGGUAACUGGCCAAAUGGCCACAGCAAGCCCUGCAGCUCAGGGGCCCCAGGUCUCCUGCCCUGGGACGUGGGGAUAAGUUCGGCUGCAGAAAGCG
ensembl:snoRNA